ACACACACACACACACACACACACACUGCGGGUCAGACUCCAGGUCAGCGCUUUCUUUAUGCAGCUGAAAUAUUUCAAACACUGACAUCCAGCAGUUGUCGUUGUUGUUGUUCGUUGUGUGGACUCGCACGUAGAAAUGGCAAAAAAGUAGUUUCAUUCAAUAUAACGACAUCAUGCACUUUUUUUGUGUGUGAGCGCGCGCCCAAUUGAAAGGCACCACGUUCUUAAAAAGCGACAUCGACGGUGUUCACGUUUGGGCGUGGUCUUAACGCAACACGACGUUUUCUCUGUGUAAUUUAUUUAAUUAUUUAUUCUUCGUCUCCGACGCAUACAUAGUGUUCACGUGACAAGUUAAUAGAUAAGUUACACAAAUCUACUGUCACAUCGUUUUGGGGCAGUGUUGACGGUGCGCAGGUCGUGUGUUGAUUGUGGAGUCCCCAGAGACGAACCUAGACGCAGAGCUGAUCGACCCUGCAGAGCCAGUUCAACAGGUGAAACACGAGGAUCGAGCACCGUUUUUUUUUUGAAAAUUAGGUUUCAGUUGCUGUUGUUUCUGGUUGAUGAGAUGACAUAAGAAAAACCUUGGAAGACUCCCCAUAGACAACAAUUAGAGCAAAUCAGCUAAGACCAGAUGUUCGUCUAAUGCAAUGAAUUCACAGGAGGUCGGUGCAGACGCUUCCCUCAAUGGAGAGAAGCAGGAUUCUUCUAAAGGCAGCUCGGACUGAAUAAAGAUCUGCAGUGCUCGAGGUUAUAGCUGUGGUGAAUGACGGCCCAUAAUGUGAGUUGCUGAUAAAUAUGCAGGAAACAGGAAGACAAAGAGACGAUGAAACAAAGAUGUUAGUGAAACCAAACAAGAGGAGGGCGCUUACACGCCUGAGCUCUGCGCCCUGGAGACCAGGUUCAUUCCAGCUGCCUUACAUCGCCAUUAGUGUUCUCUCGCAGCAGGGUCCCUAAAGGGGGGUGUGGAUGUGGGCAGCUUCACAUAUGCUCGUGUGUGUUCAUAAAGCAGAGAAUCCGUUCCUUUUACUGCACAUGUGUUUUUGAACUGUCUACUUAAACUCCUAUAAUGUUCCUUUCCUCUCUGAUGCAGUGGUGAGACCGCUCUCACAGCUCAAAGGGAUAUUUCAUCCUCAGCUGGGUUUGUGGAGGUGGGGGUAGAGGGGGGGUGUAGGUCACAACAAACACUGUCCUUGUUAACAGAACAUGUAAAUAAAUAGACACAUACCCACGCUGAACUAAUCAGGAAAACAAUUACACCCCCAUUUAAAAUGUUCCAGUGCACUGCUGUGAGGAUGACAAGUAAUUUCCCACUUGUUCAUUUUAUGUCCCGCAGCAUCCAGAUGAGAAGAUUAAUGAUGCCUUUCAAUGGGAUUUACAAACGCUACCUAUCAAAUACACUGCCUCACCCUGUCAUCAAUGACAACAACAGACGCUUUAUUAAGGCAACCAGUUAUUAAUUGAAUUCCUUUUCCAAAUAAUUGCAGCACAUAAUCUAGCUCCUCCAGAUGAAUUUAAAUUUUAUGAACUGGAGACUUUAUGGAGAGAACAGAGGCCUUGUCGUGCCUUUGUGACUUUGAAAAGGCAUCACAUACAUUUAUUGGGGCAUUUUAAAGUGGAACUAGAGCUCUCCAUUCAUUUUGUAGGCUGUGUUAUGUUUGAGCUCUGUUGUUUAGUGUCAUAUACUGAACCAUCUGCUUGUGUUCUGUGAGCCCCAUCAAAUCUGACUUCACAACAUCAAAUGUAAUUGAACAGUGCAACAUAUUCAGCACAUCAUAUUCUCACUGCCAUCAAAAAUUAGAAUCACAACUGGCUUCAGAAGCAAAAGCAAAUCUCGGCAUGCUAAAUCAAUUUCAACAUUUUGAUGAGGUCAUGAAUUUCAGGGUAUAGGAAAUUGUCAGGUGGCGAGGACGUGCAAUGUUGUGGUGAUAAAGAGAGAAGUGAUGAUCAUGUGUUUUGACUGGAGGCUGGAGAGACCCUGUUACCUUUUUGCAGAUGAAAAAUCCAUCUGCAUUGCAGCACAUCACUGUUUUGUGGCUUUGGAGCUGCACAGCUUUUAGUUAAAGGGAAGCAGGGAAACUACAAUUUCAGUAGCACAUUCAAAGUAUAUUUUACUACCAGUAGUUGAGUGUACGUACAGUACGUCACAAAUGCUUGUACAUUUUAAGUUUCAGGUGUGUGACAGACCAGAUGUUCUUCCUCUUAUUAGACACACUCGUGAUUACAUACCUCGUGUUCGUCAGGUUUAAUUUACUAAAAUGACUUCAGAGCAGAGUUCACUGGCAUCUGGCCGAACAUCUGCACAUAAAUAAUUGCUACCCUAAUUAAUUAGCCGCAAAGCAAAGUCUUGGACAUUAUGAAUGUGUAAUGAUGGAAAGCAGGUUUUUACUAUCCAGAUACUUUGGCCCGUGGUAACGGAUCACAUCGGCUGUGCUUGAUUUGUACACUACCUCCUCACAAAGCACUAACGUGUCACUGCAAACAUUGUGGAAUUUCUUCAAUCUCAGUUGGAGACGUUUGUGUGUAGCAGUGUUUUCUUAAGGGUCCCUGUGCUGUAGUUGCCUUCUCCUGCUCACUUUUCAAAGCAAGAGUUGCACCUAAACAUCUGAGGUUAUUUUGUAAAAUUGCCUUUUUCACCACACAUACUUUAGUCUGUUGUACUUAAUGUAGGAAAGUCAUUGCCUGAACCAUUAAAAACUGUUAAAUGAAAAACAUUCAUUUAUUUGCCACAUGCCCUUAUGACAAGUAGCUAAGUUAAAAAAAAUACAGUAGCUUGCUGUGUUUAUUGCUGCUAGUCGCCUCACGCAUAUAAAUAGCAAUUCACUUUUGUUGAACUUAUUUUAAAUGGCAGGGGUUUUUUACCACCUUGGUGACGGCGGAGUACAAAAGCAUAGCUGAUUCCAUUUGAAUUAAAGGAACAACCUUGCAAAGCAACGCUGAGAUUUAAUAUAAAAAAAAUAAACACUCUCCGAGGCAUAUGAUUAAGCUGUUGACGUUAUAAGUUGCUUGUACGUUUCUUGUGGUUUUUAAUUAGUAUUCUGAUCAGCACAGAAACAGAACUCCGACACUGUUUUUAAUUAACCUAUGCAAAUUGAAAGAUCUUUCAUGUUCAUAGUUGUGUAUACUUUCUGCAAACCUUUCAAACACUGCUUUAUUUUUUUUGUUUUAAGUCCUAUUUAAACUUUGUAAUUUCAGUUCAAUUAUAUCACUAGAUUUCUUUCUAAUUUUGUUUUAUUCUCGACUAUCUAGUUGAGCAUGUCUUUUACAGGUUUGCAAUGACGACAGAAAAGCCUCCACUAGUUUCCCCAGACGAGGCUUUUUCUGUCACCUUGAAAUAUUUAGAGGUUGUUGCAGAAGCAGUCAUUUCUGUAAUUUUAAAUUUCCUGCUGAUAUUGCAACAACGGUGGUGAUUUCUAGCCUGAAAUGGCCACUAUAGUCUUUUGAUUAUGAAACAUACAAUCACACACAAUGCGCUCACCUGAGAGAAAAGGAUUACAAGACCGCACAUUAGCCCGGUUUUUCCCUCUGAUGCCCUCGCACAAAUGAAUGCCUUUGAGCAGCUACAGGAAACUGCAGGGUUAGUGGUGCAAAUCUCUCUCGUUCUGGGGCUUCCUGCACGGACCACAAUAAUAGGCUUUGCAUUGUAUGUGCCGUAUGUGUUUUAUUCACUUUUACGCCUUUAAAAACACUGCUCAGGUUUUGCUGAACAAAAGCAGUCUUUGUAUGCUGUGCGGGUCUAGACGUGGAUGUUGUUUUAGGGAUCUGCCACAGUGAAGCAGAGGUCACUCAGACACAAUCUGCAGCCUGUUUGGACCGCAUGGCUGUGUCAGAAACCACUGCAUAACUAUUAGGAUGUUCUUUGUUGCUGCCUCUGACUGAGGCAACAGUGUACACCAUCAUUCUUCCUUGAUGCUGAAAGAAGUGAAGAUUAUUUAUUUGAAGGUAAUUAAUAAACACAGUGUAGUGCUGUGGCUGAACUGCUGAACUGUGUAUUAGACUGAUGGCAGCUGUUCCAAUGUGAAUCAGAUUAUGUCCAUGUUUGUGUCCUUGUUCUUUCAGCCUGUGGUAGGUUCUGUAUUCACUGUAUAGGCUCAGCUUCUCUGAGCUCAGUUUCACUGACAUGACGUAUUCGUAAAUGUUCUGGCGACGUUUGCGUGAUGUUUGAAACACCCCCUUCACUCAUUUGUAAUAACAGCCAAGGCAGUGUAUUCAUUCAUCAGUUGAUCAGUCAGUCUGCCAAGUCAAAGCUAAAUUUGAAUUUGGGUGAUUUAAGAAGGAUGCAGUUUGAACCGAAUACGAGGCAAAAUCGUCAUCACAAUGACACUUUAUGGCCAUUUUAUCAAUAAUCAUUUCAUUCAUGAUUACUUCAUCAUGCGUUACAUCAUGAAAGAUUUGUUUGGCUUUUUUGUGCUUGUGCAUUGUUUUCCUGAUUAUUUCACUGAGCGCGCUCUGUUGGAGGUUUUCAAUCACACUGGUGGAUGUCUCCAAAUAUCCCCCCAGGCUGUGUUCUAGUUCCCCCUGUAGCUGUGUGCAGGAUGCAACUCUAAUGUGUUGUCAUAUACUACGAGUUAAUAUAAGACCUUAAAGAACACACGUGUGGUAGAGGAAAUGGGAGAUAAAUGCUAAAUGCAAUCACAAUGAUUGCAUACAUGUCAAAUGUUCUUGCUACAGUAUGCAUGUGAAAUGUACAUGGAGUGUUUUCUUUUUUUAUUACAUCUUACUGCCUUUGGAGAUUCAGCUGCAGUAUUUCAGCACUCACUGUGGCACCGUUCUGCACCCUGAGGCAAGGUCAAAUGUCUGAGUGGGUCUGACUCAAAUUCUGUGAUUGGUGGGGGUGAAUAAUUAUUGUCCAUCACGUUUAAAAAUUACACUUGGUGACAGAUGUUCUAGCUGAGAAGAAAGUAAAACAAGUUGUGCGUUCAGUAGAGGAUAAAACAAUCACAUGUGGAAAAUAUACACAAAAAGUGCCUCAUCAACUGUUGCUAAGUUUGUUGUGGUUUGUUGUUUUCACCAGUGGAAAAGCCAGAAGCAGAAAAUGUUCUUUUAGUUUAGUUAAGUUUCACAUAAAAUUUCACAGAUGCUGUUAGUUAGGUUACAUUUACCACCAUGCACAAGCUAACUUCACUUGCUGGUGGAAGGCUACUUGUUCAAUUACUGAAAAGACACAUGUUUUAAGUUCUAGGCACUUUAUAAAAAUCUAUACGAGCAUUAAAAUGGAUAUGCACAGACAGAGGGAGCGUGAGCUUCAUUAAAAACAUAAUGCUGCUUUUGGCUGGUCUGACUGGCUCAAUAACAUCUCAGAGGAGUGUUGUUAAUAUUCCACAGCAGUAACAGUUUUAAUAGCUCCGGCAUUUGUUAAACAACGCUAUCAAACAGGGACAGGCAGUUUUGAUCAUACUGUAUCUCUGAGCGGUGCAACGCUGUUAAUUUGUCUCUAAGCAAGUGAAAUGGUAUUUAAAACAAUGUAAUGACUGUCUGCAGCAGGAUUUCUUAGCGUUAUCUCACCUGUUUUCAUGUCUUAAAAGUCUCAAAACCCCAGUUGUCAGGUUGUCAUGCUAACACUUUUGUAAUCUGUUUUUAAAAGCAUGCAGUGUCUGCAGAAGGUUAUCCAGUUAUUAUGGCACUUUUCUCACCUGCUGAAAUUUUUAUUUAUGGGUUAAAAAUAAAAUAUUCAAGUGUAAGUAUGCCUAUCAAGCGAUUCCAUGUGGAGUACCUCACCCUGAGGUUAGCCAAAUGCUGCAGGGUACUUUGUCUUUUACUGCAUGUGUGGAGGACGUUUGCAUAAAGAUGAAUCAAGGAAUUCAAGUGUUUUGAUCAUAGAGAGAACAUUAACUAUAUGAUUCUGUUAUGUUGCAGCUGAUAAUGGGGGCAAUAUGUCACUGUCCAUGUUGCUGUUAAGUACAUGUGGUAGUGUUAAUGCCACACACAAGAGCCAACAAUAACCUGCUCCAGUAUUUACAUGAAAUUGCAUAAAAAUACAUUAUUAUACAUUAUACUUAUGUUGUGGAUUGAAUAUUUAACCAGUGUAUAAAUAAAACAUUAAAUGAUCGCAGUGAAUCAAAGUCUUGAAAAAGUAAACACAAGUAUCCAGUUUGUGUUCUUUGUUCUCUGUUCACACUGUACGUAGCAAAUAAUAAUGACUGAAACUUAAAUUGAACCCUUGAGAGCAAUAUUGGCUGCUUCCACGUUUUAGCACAUAAGAAAAGCCGUGAAAGCAUAAUGUUUAGUGAGCAUGAGCAGGAGUGAUCAGAUCCAAGUAGAUGGAGGGCACCUGGAGCUACAGGACAGUAUAUUCUGUACACGCCGCCCUCCACACGCCAACUGCCUCGUGGUUUCACAAGGCUUCUUCAUUUUAAUGGGCGCUGAGCCGCUUCUCUCUUACUUGUUUGUUAACUCAGUAUUACACUCUGAGUGUAAUUGACUGCCACUGGCGUUCUUCACUGCUUUACAUUUUGCUCAUCCAUAAGUAUGAUAAACCAUUUAACAGAAUGAUUUUUUCAUGCAAAACAGUUGCCAGUGCAAACAUUAGCUUUCAUCUGCUACUUAGCAGACUGCUGAAGCAUUUUGCUUAACAAAUUAGAGAGGGAAACUAGACCCAUAUUUCAUUAUCACCAUGUAGUUUUUUUUCUUCUUUCAAUGACCCAUUUUUACUUUCUUCCACUCAGCAGAUGGAGAGAGCUUCAGCAACAAUUAAUUAACAGGAAUUAGUAGCAUUAAUUAGAACAAAAACAUCUAGGAACUCAUUAGUGUGAUAUGGAUAACAUUUACUCCGAGAGUCAGCCCAUUGAACUUUUAAUGAUAAAAAGCAGGUUAGCAUUUGCAAAUGCAGAACACACCCUGAAUAUGGUUUAAUUGAACAAAUAGAGGACACUUCAUUAUUAGCAAAGUGCUUUUCUUGAGUUUGACAUCUUAUUGGAUCAGCUUUGCUACAGUAGAUCAUUUGAUUUCUCCCAUUGACAUAGCAGGAAUACAGUUUUAAUAUAAAACACCACAUUUACAAUCAGUCACAAUUACAUACUCAAAUGUUAAUUACACCAGAGAUGUACAGCAUGUCCAAGGUAGUUUUUGAGUAGAGGUCUUUUAGAUAUUUAUCUUAUUAUUCACUUGCUUGUUGUUUCCCUGUGUUUGAUGCCAGCUGCUUUGUUGAGAAGCUGCAGACUAGCACAUUGUAAGAGCAUGGCGAAUGUCAAUAUGUCAUUUUCAACCACAGUAGCGUUGAUGGUUCCAGUACAGUAUGUGCUUCAGGCUUUCUACCAUUUGGGCCACAAUUCUUGUCUUCAUCUCAUUAUCCAUGUCUUACAUUUCCCUACAGUUGGUAGAGCUGUUUGUUCUCAACAAAAGAAGCCAGUGAUAAAGACUUGAAGAUGAAUUUAAUAUCUCCAUCAAUUCUUGAGAACCAUUUAGAAACACUUUUCACUUACAGUAGCACAGCCCUGUUAGCUACUCCAUAAUGACAUAUUGCCAGUGUAGGAAUCUGAUGCCCAUAUACCAUUGACUAAUACUAAUUAGUCUCACCUUUCCAAUCGUUGUGUUCAUACACAAAGGGAAUAAUUAAAAGGGAUUUAUUGUGUACUGCAGAAAAGAUUUAGCACCUGACAAACAAGCAUUUCCUUCUUCUUUACACACAUUAGGCAUUAAUGAAUGUAAAGGUUUGACUGGUGCUCGUCAUACAUGCUUAGCUCAUCCAGUUUGGGCUUGCAGAGGCUUGUAGAGGGAUAUUCUCAGUGGCCUCAGGCUCCCUGAAGAAGCAGUUUUCUCCUCCCUUUUUUUGAAUUUGACAAGAAGUGUCUUUCCGUAUUAUCAUCAUCUGUCAGAGGCAGCAGUCAUUCUUUUGCAGUAUCGAGUGAAACAAUAGUGUCUGGGACAACGGUUACUUUCUACAACACAUGUGGUGUUAAAUGUGUUUUUGAUGACUAAUGACCUAUAUUUGUAUUUUUUUGUAUUUG